GACGAACGCUGGCGGCGUGCUUAACACAUGCAAGUCGAACGGGAUUUAGUAGACAGAAGCUUCGGUGGAAGAUUACUAAUGAGAGUGGCGAACGGGUGAGUAACGCGUGAGCAACCUGCCUAUGACAGUGGGAUAGCCUCGGGAAACCGGGAUUAAUACCGCAUGAGACCACAGAAUCGCAUGAUAUAGGGGUCAAAGAUUUAUCGGUGUAAGAAGGGCUCGCGUCUGAUUAGCUAGUUGGAAGGGUAAAGGCCUACCAAGGCGACGAUCAGUAGCCGGUCUGAGAGGAUGAACGGCCACAUUGGAACUGAGACACGGUCCAAACUCCUACGGGAGGCAGCAGUGGGGAAUAUUGCACAAUGGGGGGAACCCUGAUGCAGCGACGCCGCGUGAGCGAAGAAGGUUUUCGAAUCGUAAAGCUCUGUCCUAUGAGAAGAUAAUGACGGUAUCAUAGGAGGAAGCCCCGGCUAAAUACGUGCCAGCAGCCGCGGUAAUACGUAUGGGGCGAGCGUUGUCCGGAAUUAUUGGGCGUAAAGGGUACGUAGGCGGUUUUUUAAGUCAGGUGUGAAAGCGUGAGGCUUAACCUCAUUAAGCACUUGAAACUGGAAGACUUGAGUGAAGGAGAGGAAAGUGGAAUUCCUAGUGUAGCGGUGAAAUGCGUAGAUAUUAGGAGGAAUACCGGUGGCGAAAGCGACUUUCUGGACUUUUACUGACGCUCAGGUACGAAAGCGUGGGGAGCAGACACG
rnacentral:rRNA from 1 species